GGAAGCAGAAGCAAAUGGAUCUCUGUGAGUCUGAGUCUAGCCUAGGCUACAGAGUGAGCUCUAGGCCAGCUGGGGUUACACAAUGAGACACUGUAUAAAAACAGAAAUGGAAACAACAAAUUUAGACGUUUCAUAUUUUUGCCUCUUUUUUUCCCCUAAUGUUAAAGAACAACGAUUUAGAACUGGGGACACAAUUCAGCUAGUAGAGGGCUCAUCUAACAUGCUGUGGGGAGAGAAAACAGGGGAGAGAGGAGGAGGAAGAGGAAAGACAGAGGAAACAACUUUUUUUAUUUCCUUUAUUUAUUUAUUUAUUUUUUGAGCUGGGGACCGAACCCAGGGCUUUGCGCUUCCUAGGUAAGCGCUCUACCACUGAGCUAAAUCCCCAGCCCCUUUUUAUUUCUUAACCUUGUCCACUGAGCUAAAUCUCCAGCCCCUUUUUAUUUCUUAACCUUGUAACAGAUACCAUGGUGGGCCUCUCAGCCCCAACCCAGGAUCACUCCUGGGGCCAAAUGAAGGCUGACCUAGGUUGACCUGUUUCAGAUCCCCUGCACUCCGUUGGAAUCUGCGGUUAACAGCACAGAGACUGGAUGUGGCAGAAGGACUUCCCAUAAGAAGACAGGGCAAGAAUCCGUCGCUGACCAUAGAGCGAGGGGCCGAGGUCCCAGCCUGGUGCCUGGCAGCAGUUCUCUGAGGACACAGGAGGAAAGACUAAAAGGAUUUGGAUUUUUGGAAGGCAUGCUCUGUGCCUCCCAAAGCUUGCAGAGGGGGAAGAUGGAAGAGCCUAGACCAACCUGUCUAUUUCUUCUGGUUCCAAACUCCAUGUGGUUAGCAUUGAGAAGACAGAUAUGGAUCAGAGAGGCCACCGUAGAGAGAUGCUGCACACUUCUGAUAAUAGAGGCACCAUGGAGCAGCACUCAGCACAAUCUAGGAAGAGAAAUCAAGGAAGAUCUUCUGGAGGAGGAGGUGUUUUCCUCUGAGGCCAAAAACACUGCAGAGACUGUCAAUGCCCCGGAGAGUCCUGGUACAACGCAAUGAAGGAGAAUUACUUACGUAAGCAGGGGAAACCAGAGUUUCGACUUUGAUCUGUCUGUCGCUCUUUCACUGCUGGGGACUUUCUCACUCCAUCCCCCAGCCCCCAGCCCCAUACCUCCUUCCUCUUCCCAGCUCUCCCACUCACAGUCACCAGCUCUAUUCACAGUGGGGCUUUCCAGAAACAUUGUCGCAUUGGUUGGGACGGUGGGCUACAGCAGCACUCUUUCAGGAACUUCCCCUCUUGAAGGGUUAUCUUUUUUUCCUUUCUGUUUUCUUUUUCCACGUUGAGUCUAUGGGCAUGAGUGUGUGCCGCACAUGUGGAGGCCUGGGGCUAAGGUCCUGAUAGCUUCAUUCUUGCAUCACUGAGGCAGGGUCUUUCAGUCAAUCCCAGAGUUCCCUGAUGCAGUUAGAUCUGCUUAGCCAGCUUGCUCUGAGGGUCCUGUCUCUUCUUCCUGAGGCUAGAAUGACUGCCUCACCUAGCGGCCUUUACAUGGGUUUCUGGAGAUCUGAACUUCCCUCCUAGCAAACACGUUAAUGGCUGAGCCAUCUCUCCAGCCCUGAGUUAUCUUAUUCAUACAAACACAGUGAGUGACUUGAUGAUGGUGAUGGAUGGUAAACAUCUCCAUGACUAUUCUAAAAUGCACUGAAUUGUAUGCUUUCAAUGUGUCAACGAAACAGUAUGCAAAUUGCGUAUCAGUAAAAUUGCUUUUUAAACAACGGUAGGUGGGGGGCUGGAGAGAUGGCUCAGCGGUUAAGAGCACUGACUGCUCUUCUAGAGGCCCUGAGUUCAAAUCCCACAACCACAUGGUGGCUCGCAACCAUCUGUAAUGGGAUCUGAUGCCCUCUUCUGGCUGUGUCUGAAGACAGCUACAGUGUGCUUAUAAUAAAUAAGUAAGUAAAUAAAUACAUCUUUUAAAAAAAUGGUAGGUGGUAGAACACUUGUUUAGCAUGCAGGAGGAUUGGAUCUAGGAUUGGUGGGGGAACAAUUAUAGCGGCUUAAGUAACAGAGGAAGUGUGGUCUGACUGGUCUGACGGCCGUAGGUCUGUCGCAACCAAAGUUCUGCUACUUUGCCGCCACAGGACAACAUGUCCUUGUCUUCCUAAACCUAAUUUUCCUCAUUGUGAGGAGGAUUAAAUUUUUGAUUGCCUUUAUUCCUUUGGUGUGUUUCUGCGUGUAACGGAAAGUCAGAGGACAGCGCGCUGGAACCCUUUCUCUUUCCACCAUGUGGAUUGAACUCAGGGGAUUGAACUCAGUCUCAGGCUUGGCAACAGGCACCUUUACUGUAGAAGCAUCUUACCAGCUUGUAAGAGAGAACUAAUGAAUGGCUGAAAGCCAGAGAGUCUGUCCUUCCUUCCUUCUUUCCUUCCUUCCUUCCUUUUUUCCUUCCUUCCCUUCUUUUAAAGAUUUAUUUAUUCUAUGUAUGUGAGUACACUGUCACUGUCUUUAGACACACCAGAAGAGGGCAUCCGAUCCCAUUACAGAUGGUUGUGAGCCACCAUGUGGUUGCUGGGAAUUGAACUCAGGACCUCUGGAAGAGCAGUCGGUGCUCUUAACCGCUGAGCCAUCUCUCCAGCCCCCUUCCUUCCCCCCUCUCUCUUUUUGUUGUUGUUGUUGUUGUUUGCUUGUGAGACUGUCUCAUGUAGCCUAGAUAAGCCCGAACUCCCUAUGUAGCCAAUAAGGAUGGACUUUGGGUCCUUCUGCCUCUGUCUCCUGAGCGCUGGGCCCACGCCCGGUCUAUGAGGUUCUAGGGAUCAAACCCAGGCCUCCAUGUGUGCCAGGCAAGCACUCUAUCAGCUGAUCUACAGUCCCUGGCCCCUGCGCCUGGAGAUCUUGUUAGUGUCCUGCCUCUGUCAUCAAUAAUCGUCUGUUAAGUGGAGUCAAAGAGACCCACAUCGCUGGAUGAUUGAGACUUUAAGACCGAGUUGGUACUUAGCAAUUUUUAAGAAUUAUGCUUCAGACGCAGUCCAAUAAAUAGUAGUUAGUUUAUCUGUAAUUAUUUUAUGUCCUACAUACUGUUUGAGCUCUUCUGCUCAAGAUGUAAACUGCUCAAGAUGCCCACCGAAACCUAGUACUGAACCCCACUGGCCAGGGACAAGCCCUGCCCUCAAGGAGGGUGUAGUGGUUUGAAUAUGCUUGACCCAGGGAGCAGCACUAUUAGGAGGUAAGGCUUUGUUGGGGAAAAUUGUGUCACUGUUGGGGUGGGCUUUGAGACCCUCCUCCUAGCUGCCUGAGGAAAGUCUGCUCCUGGCUUCCUUUGGAUGAAGAUGUAGAACUCUCAACUCCUCCAGUGCCAUGUCUGCCGGGACGCUGCCAUGCUUCCUGCCAUGAUGAUAAUGGACCGAACCUCUGAACCUGUAAGUCAGCCCCAAUUAAAUGUUGUCCUUUCUUAGAGUGGCCUUGGCCAUGGUAUCUGGUCACAACAGUAAAACCCUAGUUAAGGUAGUACACAAAUAGAGGUAACCUGCCAGCCCAUGCUCUCUCCAACAAAGGUGAGCUCUAGAAGUCUCCAUCCAUAGCUAAAUGAUCCUCAACCAAGUCAGGAACCUAGACUUCAUUGUCUGGGAUCGUUAACAGGUCGUGGGGAGCUGGGAGGUGACAUGCCUCAGGCUGGGGCAGCCUUAUGUGUUCUGUGAUUGUGCCGCUCUCAGGGCAGAGAGGAUCAUGAAACCCCAGAGGCUUGGAGGGAGACAGACAGAGGGCAUUUGCCUCGGAUCUCGAUCCUAGUCCAUUUUCUGUCAUUAUCACACACACACUUGCACGUGCACAUGUACCAAAAUAAAAUCCAUCUUCGUGGGUGAGUAUUUAGCUCACAGACUGGGAAACUAGAAGGCUAAGAUCAGAUGGCCCCAUCAGUUCAGCCUACGGUGAUGGCCCCCUUGUCUGAGUCACCCUGUGAUGAAGGAGGGAGGGAGACAUCACAGGAUGAGACCAGAUUAUUCACAUGACCCUCCUCCCAAACCCUCCCUUUCAUUUUCUAAUUUUAGAGACGGGAUCAUGUGUAACUCAGGCUAGCUUCAAACUCACGAUGUAACCUUGAAUUCGGAUCCCCAUCUUUACCAGAGUAGUGCUGGGAUUACAGGCAUUCACUGCCCUAUCGGGCUUAUGAACUCCAAGCUCGCUAGGCAAGCAAGCUACCAACUGAGCCACCUCCCCAGCCCUAGUUCAUAAACAUCAGAGUUGGCAACCACUCAAAAACAGACACAACUAAUUUAUUAAGUCUAAGGCAGAGAAAUCCAGGAACUAGGCUUGCUCUUUGAAAGCAAUUCAUUCUCUCAGGAACCAACAAGAAGGGCACGGAGAUGGCUCAGGGGUUAAGCAGAUCGCUUGGGUCCAGUUCUCUGCAUCCAUUUAGUGGCUCACAGACCAUCUCUGAUCCAGUUCCGGGGACCUAAUGCCCUUUCCAUAAAUAUUCCCCAGCUCUGACCACACUGGAGACCAGGCCUCCAGCACACGAGCUUUUAGGAGACAGCCCACAGCUGAUCCUAAAGCACUGCCCAUUCACUCAACAAAUGUAUUGAAUCUCUUCCCAGGUCACAAAAGGAGGGAUUUCCUGCUCCCAAGAGACCUACAAUAUAGGAGGAAUUGGUACUAAAGAGGGAAUAGAAGUCACGGUUGCAAGACAGGCAAGGUGGCAGUGACAGCUAUAAUACCAGCAGGUGGGCGCUAAGGCAGGAGGAUCAUCACGUGCUUAAGGCCAUCAAGACCCUGUCUCACAACUACGAAUCAGUACUACCCUGUCGGGAAGGAAGAACUGCCCUACUGUUUUCAAAACAGAGUGAAGAGACAGAGAUGGUUGAAAAGGCCUCUCUUUCUUUGUUUCUUUGAUUCUUUGUUUCUUUCUUUCUUUGUUCCUUUGUUUCUUUGAUCCUUUGACUCUUUCUUUCUUUCUUUCUUUCUUUCUUUCUUUCUUUCUUUCUUUCUUUCUUUCUUUCUUUCUGUAGUCUAUUUAUCUUACUCAUUACACUGGGAUGAAUUGAGCCAGACAUAGCAUUAGGGCGAUUGCCACCACAGACUUGUUUUCCAGGAGGGAAGGGAUUUUUCCUCUGGGGCGUGUGUUCUGAAGACUCAAGAGCAUGGGCGUGAGAAGUCCUGGGGCAGAGAUUAUGGUCAAGUCCCUGAGGUGGCAGGAGGCGCUACAGUCAUGAACCAGCCAGAAAGGCGCCUGGGCCUUUGUACAAGGAGAAGGGAGGGAGGGAGGGAAAGGGUUAGGCAACAAGCAGAUCUCCAUGAGGUUUGGUGAGAAACUUGGAAAGAUUCGGGUCCGUUGAGACAUCACUGAGAGGUUCUGUGUAGAGACACAGCAUUUUAAAAUCACUCUGAACAAUGCGUGCUAGCUCUAAUCUGUAAUCCUCAGGAAGAUUGCUGUGGGUCUGAGGGCAGCCUGGGCUAUGGAGUGAAUUCCAGACCAGAGCAGGCAACAAAAGUAAGAACCUGUCUCGAAGGCCAAACAUUAAUUAAUUAACUCAAAUAAAAGGUCACUCUGGGCACUGUGUGAAUUUGGGGGCAGGGGAACAGCUGGGCAAGAGAGGGGCGAGGAGAAUGACCUAUGUAUUGGUAGCCAGAGCCAGGCUGUCCAUGGAGGCAACAGUGAGGAAGAGUGGAAGUCUGGAUCUAUUUUGACAGUUCCACUUCCUGGUUCUGGUUCCUCAUAAAGUCAGGCUUUUUCAUCUUGCCCCUGAGUUCAUGCCAAAUUCCCCUUCGAUCUCCUUCCUACCCUCACUCUCACCCCGUUUCCUUUUUGCUUGAGUAAGCUAAUGUGUAAGGGGAGGGUCCUGUUAUUUGCACCCAAAUCACCCUGACAAUGAGACGUGCAGGCUCACUAGCCUGCUCCAACUCACCCACCACCCAGUGCCAUCUGCCCAGCAGAAAAGAACACGUUUUGACGUGUGAGUAAUGCACACCGGACUAGUCGAUCUCCUGAGGGAAACCUUCUUCCAGGGCACUUCUGAAGGAAGCAGUCUGCGAUGGCUUACCUUAUGGUGUGGAAAGAAUGCUUAUGAUAUACCCAGAGAUGUCUACCACACCAGAUAAGAAGUGCAGGGAACUCUCACAGGCACUGACAUGCAUACCCUGAGCCAGGCUUUGUCCUAAAGAAUUUGCAUGUACUCGCUCAUUUAAGCCUCAGGGAAAUGAUAAGAUGUAGGCUGUUCCUGUUUCUAUUUUUACAGAAAAGAAUCACGGACUGGGGAGCCUGGGUUUGGCUCUGCAGUGGAAUGCUAGUCUGGAUGGACGAGACUCUUGUCCUGGGCCCACAACAUCAUACACAAGAGUAAAACUCACAAGCCAGGCGGUGGGGGCACAUGCCUUUAACCCUAGCAUUUAGGAGGCAGAGGAAGGCAGAUCUCUGUGAGUUUGAGGCCAGCCUGGUCUACAGAGAGACUUCCAGCACAGCCAGGGCUACACAGAGAAACCCUGUCUCAAAAUAAAAUAAAAUAAAAUAAAAUAAAAUAAAAUAAAAUAAAAUAAAAUAAAAUAAAAUAGAAUAAUACUCAUAAAAUGAGUGUGCAGGUGAGCCCAACUGUUCUGCUUCAUGCUCUCAACCAGUAUCCGUCUGUUUCCUCAGAUGGAUGAAAUCAAGCUAUACUGGACUCUAAGAUGUUUCAUGUUAUAUAGAACAGUGACCUGGCCUUGGUCUUGCUAGGGGUCUCCACAGUGCAAGCAGCUUUUGAUUCUGUCUCAUGGGAAGAGAAUGACUAUAGCUGGGUGGACCCAGAACUGUGUGUCGGUCACAUCCCUUCAGCACAGACUGGUAAACUACUUAUUCCUGAGGAUAGAUGGGGUGAGUUGACACCAUGGGCACACACAGAUGGAUUAAAACCAUAUUGGGAGGUAGCUGGAGAGAUGGUUCGGUAAUUAAGUAUGUGUACUUUUCUUUUCUUUUUUUUUUUUUAAGAUUUAUUUAUUCUAUGUAUGUGAGUACACUGUCGCUGUCUUCAGACACACCAGAAGAGGGCACCACAUCUCAUUACAGAUGGUUGUGAGCCACCAUGUGGUUGCUGGGAAUUGAACUCAGGACCUCUGGAAGAGCAGUCAGUGCUCUUAACCUCUGAGCCAUCUCUCCAGCCCCAUGUGUACUUUUCUUGAAGAGGAUCUGAGUUCAGUUCUCGACACCCAUAUCAGGAGCUCACAACACCUGUUACCCCAGCUCCAGGGGGAUUUAAUGCCUCUGUCCUCUACAGGCACCUGUACUUGAGUUUACACACACCACACACACACACACACAUACACACACACACGAACACACACACAUACACACAUUCACACACAUGUAAUUAAACAUAAAAUAACACUUAAAAAUAUUUUUGAAAAAAUCAAGCCCAUAAACUUAGAGGAUACACCAGACCAAGGAAAGAAUACACCUCCCUCACUUGGACUCCAUCAUGUGAGAGACACCUAACACUACAAUGGUCCCACACAAGCCUCUCAUCUGAUACUUGUUGCGUGUGUAGUAACACUUUUGAGAAUUCUGGAACUUUUGUUUCUUUAAAAAAUACAAAAACAUAAGACUAUGCUUUCGCUUUAAUCCCAGGUGUGGGGAUAAGGGGCUGCUUCUGACUUUCCGCAGCAGCUGACCGUGCUCUGUCUGCCUCGUGCUCUAGCAGAGGCGUGGUUUUGCCAGCUGCAGGAAGUUUCUGCGAUUGUGCGAUGUCUGGAACUCUGAGAACUUCUUAGAGGGAGAAGAAGAAGGAGGAAAAGGAGGAGGAGAAGAAGGAGAGGAGGAGGAGAGGAGGAGGAGGAGGAAGAGGAGGAGGAGGAGGAGGAGGAGGAGGAGGAGGAGGAGAAGAAGAAGAAGAAGAAGAAGAAGAAGAAGAAGAAGAAGAAGAAGAAGAAGAAGAAGAAGAAGAAGAAGAAGAAGAAGAAGAGGAGUAGAAGCACUGAAGCAAGAGACUGGGAAGGAUUGGGGUGGAUAUAAUUAAGAUUCAUUAUACAUUCGUAUGAAAUUUCCAAAGAAUAAAGAAAAGUAUUAAUAACUUUCAGCAAGUCAGAGGCGAGCAAGGCCAAAAGAAUGUCCAGAAUGCUGAGCUUCUGCUUGGUGCCUUAGUUUCCUUAACAUUUUUCCCUGCCCCUCCUCCUGCAGCUGUCCCUUCCCUUAAAGACAUAGAUCUUGAAAUGUCCUAUACGGUCCUUUGCCUCUGAUUGCCUUUGGGCUGCUAGCUAUGCUAAUACGACUCAUGGAGCAGAACUAACUGGCUCUAUGUGGGGCAGGAUCAUUGGUAACUGAUGCCAAGAUUCAAAUCCGCUGGACAAUGUGGGACAAGCCUGGAAUCCUAGCCCUCAACAGGCAGAAGAUGAGAAGUUGCUACACAGCCAGUCAGAAGCCAGUCUGAACACGUGACACCUUGUCUCCAAAAAAAGCACAAUCAUUUUUUUUUAAGCUUUUAGGGAGUGGAGUAGGAAGCACAUACUGCUCUUGAGGGCCUCAGUUAAGUUCCCAGCACCCACUUCAGGUGGCUCAUCGCUACCUGUAACUCUGCUCCAGGGAAGCUGAUGCCCUCUUCUGGACUCCAAAGGCACCUGCAUUCACACAAACACAUAAUUUUUUUAAAAAAUUAAAUAAAUAAAAACAAUGAUAAACUAAACUCUGAAAAGGCUCAAGUCAUCUAACUUGACUCUUGCUAAAAGUCAUUAAUUUAAAACCAAAUGCCCGGGGUUGGGGAUUUAGCUCAGUGGUAGAGUGUUUGCCUAGCAAGCACAAGGCCCUGGGUUCGGUCCCCAGCUCUGAAAAGAAGAAAAGAAAAAAAAAUGCCCAAUCAGGCAGUAAUGGCUCAUGCCUUUAAUCCCAGCACUCGGGAGGCAGAGGCAGGCAGAUCUCUGAGUUUGAGGGCAGCCUGGUUUACAGAAGGAGUUCCAGAACAACCAGAACUACAUAGAGAAGCCCUGCCUCAAAAAAAAAACAAAAAAAAAAAAACCAAAUGCCAGGGGAAUGCAGAUGCGAGUGACCGUUACAAAGCUCUUUCAGCCAACCGUAUGUCACAGACAAUUGAUCCAAAACAAAAAAACAAAACAAAAAAAAAAAACAACAAAAAGAGAAAAGCAAAUGGCCACUGCCUCAAGUGUCACCUCACUUAGCUCAACCUCCUCUCCACCAACCCUGCCCUGACCCCUAACUCUGCUAUUUUUUGCCCCAUUUAGGGCCUUUGAACUUGUGGAAGAUUCUGACUCAUCCUGUCCAACCUCAGUCGUGCUUCCUCUUUCUCUUGCCCACUACAGCAGGAACACACGCCCUGGGCAAGUUUGGGCCAUUGUAUGCCUUGGUCAGCAAUCACUUGUUUGUAAGAUUAAAUUCCUUCAAACUAGGAGAAAGAAAGAAAGAAAGAAAGAAAGAAAGAAAUAAAGAAAGAAAGAAAGACGCAAAGACCAAGAACCACCCAGAACCCAAGAUGAUAACCACAGUCACGUGAUAGAAUUUGGACAGAAGACCUUUACCUGACUCUCUGUCUAGGGAGAGACCAUAACAUGUUGUUAUGCUGAAAUGAAUGUGAGCCCUCCUGGUACGCAGAACUGACAAAGGAAAAUGGACCUAAUCCAUCACUUCCAGACCUCUCACCGGGAUCAAAGACAUUGGAAGGGAAUCAGGAUGUGGAAAGGAGAGAGAAUGCUAUGAAGAGACAACCCUGAGGAGACCCUAUCAUCAACCUUACUGUCUGCUAGUUGGGCUGUGGCAAGGCUAAAGAGUGCAGCUAAUGAAUGAGAUUGGAACGUACAAGCCCAAAUGAAGCACUUAACACGUCAAUCAUUUUGAGAGGAAGGUAAGGGAGAAACGGGAGUCUCCGGAGGGAAUUUCUUGCCGCCCAUAUUCUACCCAAAAUCAAAGCACUGAUUUGAUGAGUAACAGAAGAGGAGAUUCUCUUAUUACUGGGAAUGGAGAGUUGCUGAUAAGAUUCAUCUUUUCCUACCAACCCUGUGGAACAAAUUCAAAUCUUCCAUAGUCCACUCUCAUCACUGUCCCACAGUUAAUUGAUCAUGGUCCAGAUUCCUUUUCCCACAGUCUUCUCUUAUCUUCAGAGUUCGUAACUCCUGUUAAAAUGACAUAAACCAGGGAUGGAGAGAUAGCUCAGAGGUUGGGAGCACUGGCUGCUCUUCCAGAGGUCCUGAGUUCAAUUCUCAGCAACCACAUGGUGACUCACAACCAUCUAUAAUGGGAUCUUCUGGUGUAUCUGAAGACAGCUACAGUGUAGUCACAUACAUAAAAUAAAUAAAUAAAUCUUUAAAAAUUUUUUAUAUAAACCAGAUACACAAGCACAUGUGGCUCAUACAGCACUUGGGAGUCUCAAGUGGGAAGAUUGCAAGUUUAAGACCAGUCUGGACUAUAUAGCAAGAUUUGACCACAAGGCAAGAAAAGAAGAUGCAGGGGCUGGAGAUGGCUCAUGCCUGUCAUCCUACAACUCAGGAUGCAGAGGCAGGAGGAUCACGACGUAAAGAUCAUUCUAGGUUCCAUGGCAGCACAUUUCAGACUGACUUGGGCUACGGUGAGCUCCAUCUUAAAAAUGAACACCAAGCCAAUGACAUGGCUCAGUGGUUAAGGGUUCACUAUCAAGCUUGGUGACCUGACUUCAAUCCACAGGACUCACAGGGUAGAAAACGAACUGAUUUCUUCGAGUUGUCUUCUAAUCUCCAUGUGUGUAUCAUAACACUUGCACACAGUCCCCCUCCCAGUAAAUGACUAUAUAUAUAUAUAUAUAUAUAUAUAUAUAUAUAUAUAUAUAUAUAUACUAGCUGGUGUGAGUCUCUGGCUUCAACCUCUAAUGCUGAAAUAAAUCAAUAAACAAAUAAUGAGACAAAGAAGUUUAAGUGGGGCUGGAGAGACGUCUGAGCAGUCAAGAGUGCCUGCGGCUCUUGCACAGGACCACAGUUUGGUUCCCAGCAUCGGUGGCCUCACAACCACUUGUAGCUCCUGUUUCAGGAGACACAGUGCCCUCUUCUGGACUACAAGGGUACCUGCACUCACACACACACACACACACACACACAAAUAAAAAUGUAAUUUAAAAUGAAGAGUCUUCUGUGCAUGAGUUUAACGGCUACUCAGCCAUUCUUUGCAAGGCCAUAAAGCCUUAUGUUCAUAGGCUGUGAAGUCGACCUGCCUUGUUUUUAAUCCCACCCAUGCCAAGGAUAUUUGAUGGUCGCUACGGGGGCACUUCGAUCCAUAAGCCUGCUGUUUAGUUUUUCUGUCUCGUGGCUGAAAUUAGGAAACAGGAUUUGGUAAAGCCAAGUAGAUUUAUUUACAGUUUGAACCAAUGGGGGAAAGAAAGUUGGUUUCUCUAUGCCUUUUGUGGAGCACUGUCACGAUUUUACAGAAAAGGUGAAGUCACUGGGCGUGGAGUCAGAUGCCUGCAAUUCCAACCCUCUGAAGGUAGAUGGAGGAUCAGGCUUCCCCCGUCACACUCUGCUACAUAGAGUUAAAGGCCCGCCCUAUCUAUGUGCCUUCUACACAUGAGACCCUGUCAAAGAAAGAAGAGGAGAGCGGGCGGAAAGAGAGCGACAGAGACAGAGAGAAACAGAGACAGAGAGACAGAGAGAGAGAACAAGAGACAGAGACAGAGAGACAGAGAACAAGACAGAGACAGAGAGAGACAGAGACAGAGAGAGACAGAGACAGAGGCAGAGAGAGACAGAGGCAGAGAGAGACAGAGACAGAGAGAGACAGAGACAGAGAGAGACAAAGACACAGAGACACACAGAGAGAGAUAGAGA